UACGUAGGGUGCGAGCGUUAAUCGGAAUUACUGGGCGUAAAGCGUGCGCAGGCGGCGCGUUAAGACAGGUGUGAAAGCCCCGAGCUUAACUUGGGAAUUGCGCUUGUGACUGGCGUGCUGGAGUGUGGCAGAGGGAGGUGGAAUUCCACGUGUAGCAGUGAAAUGCGUAGAGAUGUGGAGGAACACCGAUGGCGAAGGCAGCCUCCUGGGCCAGCACUGACGCUCAUGCACGAAGACGUGGGGAGCAAACAGG
rnacentral:rRNA from 1 species